UCAUAUAAUCUUUCCAUUUCUUCUAUAUCCAGAACAAAAGAAAAAGUGGAUAAAUGAGGAUUUGAGAGAGAAAUUGAGAAAGAGAGAGGUACAGAUAGAACAAUGAGAGAGGGGAGGUCAGAGACGGAGAGAGAGAGGGGUCGGAGACCGGUGAGUCUCCGCCUGAAUCUCAUCGAAAAAGGGGUCAUCCACCAUCCAGAAACACCACUAGCCCCCUUUCCCACAUUUUCUGAUUGAACCAUCGCCAAAAACAUCCCUUUUCCAAAACUCAAUCGAAACCAGAUUUAAUGCACUCCAAAUCCCCUCGAAAGAAAUUCAGCCAAUAUUCAACAAGAACAGUCACCCCGUUCCUUUUUUAGCAACUAUUCAUCAAAAAUCCAUCGAAAGAUGACACGGGAUGGGUUUUGGUCUUUUCAGUUUAUGAUUCUUGAUUCCAUUUUGGCAAGGCAAUGCAAAGGGCAUUAGAUCAAAUUUGGAUUUGUUUGUUUGGUUGACGUUUGUUCGAGAUUCCAGUGGCGAUGUCAA
rnacentral:lncRNA from 1 species